UGGAACAAUGACUGAUAAGACUGUCUUCUCAUUUUGGGAGAGUGAUUUGCUUGCAAGAAGGACAGCGGUAUCCCGUUAAGCAGAAA